rnacentral:rRNA from 1 species
CCUACGGGAGGCAGCAGUGAGGAAUUUUCCGCAAUGGGCGAAAGCCUGACGGAGCAAUACCGCGUGAGGGAUGAAGGAUUUUGGUCUGUAAACCUCUUUUCUCAAGAAGGAAGUUCUGACGGUACUUGAGGAAUAAGCAUCGGCUAACUCCGUGCCAGCAGCCGCGGUAAUACGGGGGAUGCAAGCGUUAUCCGGAAUGAUUGGGCGUAAAGCGCCUGUAGGUUGUUUAUUAAGUCCGUUGUUAAAGCCUAGGGCUUAACCCUAGAAAAGCAAUGGAAACUAGUAGACUAGAGUAUGGCAGGGGUAGAGGGAAUUUCUAGUGUAGCGGUGAAAUGCGUAGAUAUUAGAAAGAACACCGGUGGCGAAAGCGCUCUAACUGGACCAUUACUGACACUCAGAGGCGAAAGCUAGGGUAGCAAAAGGGAUUAGAUACCCCUGUAGUCCUAGCCGUAAACGAUGGAUACUAGAUGUUGUGCAUAUGUACAGUAUACGUAGCUACGUACGUUAGUAGUCCGUCCGUCGGGUAGGUACGACGUCGCGAGGUAGUAAACGUAAAGGUAAAGUUAGUACGGACGUGAGACGUAGCCGAACGACGACGACGAGGGAGGAGG